CUGCAACGCCGUUGCCAGUGGAUGCCAGCGAGAGCCCAGUCGUGACUCGGAGCCCGCGUCUUGAGAGACGCGCUCCGGCUCGCCUCUCCUCUCGGGCAGGAGCGGCCGGGGGCUCGGGUUUCUGGCCCCGCGGCGCUCUGGACGGCUCGGGAGUCCAGACGCCGCCGCGGACCGGGAUCCAGAGAGAGCGCGCCCAGCCCGGCCUCGGUCCCCACCGCGGCCCGGAAGGAAUCCGGGCGGCCUCCGCGGAGGUGAGUGCCCGGCGGGGGCGGGCCGGGGCGGCGCGCGGCCGGGGCGGCGCCCGCGGGCGGGGCCUGCUCGUCGGGCGCCCGGAGCGCCUUGUUCCUCCAGAGGGACGGCGGACGGCUCGCCGGGCUCCCGCACCUCCUCGCAGCUACUCUUCACCUGGGAUCCAGAGGUCUGAAGUGUUUGAUGGUGGGUUAGAUGGGUCAUCAGUCAUUCUGCUCCAGAACAUCUUAGGAGGUCAUGUUGUGACAUUCAGUGAGUCAUAGUAUGUAGUAUGUUCUGUGUUCAAAAGUUAAUAUUUUUUUCUAUUAUU
ensembl:lncRNA